rnacentral:rRNA from 1 species
UGGGGAAUAUUGGACAAUGGGGGGAACCCUGAUCCAGCCAUGCCGCGUGUGUGAAGAAGGCCUUAUGGUUGUAAAGCACUUUAAGCGAGGAGGAGGGUACUGGUAUUAAUACUACCAGGUACUGGACGUUACUCGCAGAAUAAGCACCGGCUAACUCUGUGCCAGCAGCCGCGGUAAUACAGAGGGUGCGAGCGUUAAUCGGAUUUACUGGGCGUAAAGCGUGCGUAGGCGGCUAAUUGAGUCGGAUGUGAAAUCCCCGAGCUUAACUUGGGAAUUGCAUUCGAUACUGGUUAGCUAGAGUGUGGGAGAGGAUGGUAGAAUUCCAGGUGUAGCGGUGAAAUGCGUAAAGAUCUGGAGGAAUACCGAUGGCGAAGGCAGCCAUCUGGCCUAACACUGACGCUGAGGUACGAAAGCAUGGGGAGCAAACAGG